GGGAUAGCCCGGAGAAAUUCCGGAUAAUACUCGAUCAUACAGGGGCACCGCAUGGUGCUAUUUGUUAAAGAUUUAUUGGUUAUAGAUGGGCCUGCGUUGGAUUAGCUAGUUGGUUGAGGUAACGGCUCACCAAGGCAACGAUCCAUAGGGGAACUGAGAGGUUUAUCCCCCACACUGGUACUGAGACACGGACCAGACUCCUACGGGAGGCAGCAGUGAGGAAUAUUGGUCAAUGGGCGAGAGCCUGAACCAGCCAAGUCGCGUGAAGGAUGAAGGUAUUAUGUAUUGUAAACUUCUUUUUUAGGGGAAUAAUAUCCCGGACGUGUCCGGGCUUGUAUGUACCCUACGAAUAAGCAUCGGCUAACUCCGUGCCAGCAGCCGCGGUAAUACGGAGGAUGCGAGCGUUAUCCGGAUUUAUUGGGUUUAAAGGGUGCGUAGGUGGGUCGGUCAGUCAGCGGUGAAAUCCCGGAGCUUAACUUCGGAACUGCCGUUGAAACUGCCGGUCUUGAGUGUGAACGAGGUAGGCGGAAUUCGUAGUGUAGCGGUGAAAUGCAUAGAUAUUACGAAGAACUCCGAUAGCGCAGGCAGCUUACCAGGCCACAACUGACACUGAAGCACGAAAGUGUGGGUAUCAAACAGGAUUAGAUACCCUGGUAGUCCACACAGUAAACGAUGAUAACUAACUGUUUGCGAUACACAGUAAGCGGUACAGCGAAAGCGUUAAGUUAUCCACCUGGGGAGUA
rnacentral:rRNA from 1 species